rnacentral:rRNA from 1 species
CCUACGGGAGGCAGCAGUAGGGAAUAUUGGACAAUGGACGCAAGUCUGAUCCAGCCAUCCCGCGUGAAGGAUUAAGGCCCUAUGGGUUGUAAACUUCUUUUCUUUGGGAAUAAAAAGCGGUAUUCAUAUCGCCUUGAAGGUACCAGAGGAAUAAGCACCGGCUAACUCCGUGCCAGCAGCCGCGGUAAUACGGAGGGUGCAAGCGUUAUCCGGAUUCACUGGGUUUAAAGGGUGCGUAGGUGGCUUUGUAAGUCAGCGGUGAAAGCCUGGAGCUCAACUCCAGAAUUGCCAUUGAUACUGCAGAGCUUGAAUCAAGUUGAGGUGGAUGGAAUAUUACAUGUAGCGGUGAAAUGCUUAGAUAUGUAAUAGAACACCGAUUGCGAAGGCAGUUCACUAAGCUUGUAUUGACACUGAGGCACGAAAGCGUGGGGAUCAAACAGGAUUAGAUACCCUGGUAGUCCACGCCCUAAACGAUGCAAACUCGACAUUAGCGAUAUACAGUUAGUGUCCAAGCGAAAGCGUUAAGUUUGCCACCUGGAAGUACGACCGCAAGGUUGAAACUCAAAUGAAUUGAGG